UACGAAGGGGGCUAGCGUUGUUCGGAAUUACUGGGCGUAAAGCGUGCGCAGGCGGUUUUGUAAGACUGUCGUGAAAUCCCCGGGCUCAACCUGGGAAUGGCGAUGGUGACUGCAAGGCUAGAGUUUGGCAGAGGGGGGUAGAAUUCCACGUGUAGCAGUGAAAUGCGUAGAUAUGUGGAGGAACACCGAUGGCGAAGGCAGCCCCCUGGGUCAAAACUGACGCUCAUGCACGAAAGCGUGGGGAGCAAACAGG
rnacentral:rRNA from 1 species